rnacentral:RNase_P_RNA from 1 species
CGAGGGGGACAAGGCGUUCGCGGGUGAUAGGCCACGGCCGAAGCACUCGAGGAAAGUCCGGGCUCCGCAGGGCAGGGUGCUGGCGCAGGCCAGUCGGGGCGACCCGAAGGAAAGUGCCACAGAAACUCAAACCGCCCGCGUCCGCGCGGGUAAGGGUGAAAAGGUGCGGUAAGAGCGCACCGGGGACCUGGCGACAGGGACCGCACGGUAAACCCCACCCGGAGCAAGGCCAAACAGGGGCACGGUGGCUCUCCGCAAGGAAGUCACCAGGGGCUGCCCGUCCCGCCCCGGGUAGUGCCGCGUAGAAGAAUGACCGCCACCUGGGGGAGGCGACGAACCCAGGGACAAAACCCGGCUUACGACCCCGCUCGUCCG